rnacentral:rRNA from 1 species
UACAGAGGUCUCGAGCGUUAGGCGGAAUCACUGGGCUUAAAGCGUGUGUAGGUGGAUGCCUAAGUACCUUGUGAAAUCCCACGGCUCACCCGUGGAACUGCUUGGUAUACUGGGUGUCUUGAGCCACUUAGGGGCUACCGGAACAAAUGGUGGAGCGGUGAAAUGCGUAGAUAUCAUUUGGAACGCCAACGGUGAAAACAGGUAGCUGGGAGUGUGCUGACGCUGAGACACGAAAGCCAGGGGAGCAAACGGG